GGCACCUCGGUGCCCCUGCUCCUAGAGUGGAGAAACUGCCAGGGAGCAAGUGAGCGCGCCCUGGCCUGACAUAACGAGCCCAGCUGAGGCUUGCUCAGGUAAUGAGCGCAGCUGCGGGUUGCCGGAGCAACCAAGGGGAACCAGCUGCCUGUAGGAGGCAGGGCCUGGCCCUUAUAAAGCCCAGGGCUGAGGCCAGGCUGGCAGUUCUCUGCCAGCAGCCUGGGAGGCAGGAGCUCUGAGAGAGAGGAUGGGCACUAUGGUUUAGCCAGGGGGCUUUAGGUUGAUACUGCUGUAAAGAUGACAACAUGACAAUAUUGACAUGAGGCACCUAUCAAACAGGAUCUGCAUUAUGUGUACACGUUUUUUGUAAAAUUGUGUUCUGUGUUAGAAGAAAAGAGAAUCUUUGACAAAAUGGAAGAAGCCACCAGAUUUUCUCAUUGUGGUAUGGAAACUAGCAGAAACUUCAAUAGAUGCAGAUCCCUAAAUUCUCCCAGAAGAACUACUGAAGAGAAAUCAAGGUGUUGAGGCAGAAAGGAGGAAGAAAUUCUCCAUAUAACAGGCCCAGAGAUUUUGAUUAGCUACAGUACCUUCCCAGUGGAUAAGAUUUCAAAUUGUUAAAUAAUCUUUUAAGUGUUUCAAGAACGGUUAAAGUGAUGUCGUUGUUUAAUUAACACAAAAAUGAUUUUAGUGAAAUCAUAUUUUAUUUACCAAAUAACAGCAUGGUAAAACCUAGUCUUUUGUAUUUGAUUAGUUAACAAAUGGACACAAGAAUGAACCUGCUCAACGCUUUCUGAAUAAAAUAUUUCCAUCAAAUUAACUUUAAGUUUAUUUUUUGUAAAAAAUGGAUGCCUUUUUCACAAUUUUGUUGUUUCCCCCUAAAUUUUUCAUUAGUUUUUUUUAAUCAAGUGGUGUAUAGAAAAUUUUAUAAAAAUGGUUAGUAAAAAUUUUCAUUUACUGAAAACAGUAGAAAAUUUGAAAAAUUGAAAGAAGGGUGUUACG